rnacentral:rRNA from 1 species
CCUAGUAGCGGCGAGCGAAGCGGGAAGAGCUCAAAUUUAUAAUCUGGCACCUUCGGUGUCCGAGUUGUAAUCUCUAGAAGUGUUUUCCGCGUUGGACCGCACACAAGUCUGUUGGAAUACAGCGGCACAGUGGUGAUACCCCCGUACACGGUGCGGACGCCCAGCGCUUUGUGAUACACUUUCAAUGAGUCGAGUUGUUUGGGAAUGCAGCUCAAAUUGGGUGGUAAAUUCCAUCUAAAGCUAAAUAUUGGCGAGAGACCGAUAGCGAACAAGUACCGUGAGGGAAAGAUGAAAAGCACUUUGGAAAGAGAGUUAACAGUACGUGAAAUUGUUGGAAGGGAAACGCUUGAAGUCAGACUUGCUUGCCGGAGCUUGCUUCGGUUUGCAGGCCAGCAUCAGUUUUCCGGGGUGGAUAAUGGUGGUUUGAAGGUAGCAGCCUCGGCUGUGUUAUAGCUUUCCACUGGAUACAUCCUGGGGGACUGAGGAACGCAGCGUGCUUUUUGCGAA